AUUGAACGCUGGCGGCAGGCCUAACACAUGCAAGUCGAACGAGUGGCGGACGGGUGAGUAAUGUCUGGGAAACUGCCCGAUUGAGGGGGAAAACCACUGGAAACGGUAGCUAAUACCGCAUACUAUCGGAUGUGCCCAGAUGGGAUUAGCUAGUAGGUGGGGUAAAGGCUCCCCUAGGCGGCGAUCCCUAGCUGGUCUGAGAGGAUGACCAGCCAAACUGGAACUGAGACACGGUCCAGACUCCUACGGGAGGCAGCAGUGGGGAAUAUUGCACAAUGGGCGCAAGCCUGAUGCAGCCAUGCCGCGUGUGUGAAGAAGGCCUUCGGGUUGUAAAGCACUUUCAGCGGGGAGGCGUUACCCGCAGAAGAAGCACCGGCUAACUCCGUGCCAGCAGCCGCGGUAAUAC
rnacentral:rRNA from 1 species